rnacentral:rRNA from 1 species
AUGCAAGUCGAACGAACUCUGGUAUUGAUUGGUGCUUGCAUCAUGAUUUACAUUUGAGUGAGUGGCGAACUGGUGAGUAACACGUGGGAAACCUGCCCAGAAGCGGGGGAUAACACCUGGAAACAGAUGCUAAUACCGCAUAACAACUUGGACCGCAUGGUCCGAGCUUGAAAGAUGGCUUCGGCUAUCACUUUUGGAUGGUCCCGCGGCGUAUUAGCUAGAUGGUGGGGUAACGGCUCACCAUGGCAAUGAUACGUAGCCGACCUGAGAGGGUAAUCGGCCACAUUGGGACUGAGACACGGCCCAAACUCCUACGGGAGGCAGCAGUAGGGAAUCUUCCACAAUGGACGAAAGUCUGAUGGAGCAACGCCGCGUGAGUGAAGAAGGGUUUCGGCUCGUAAAACUCUGUUGUUAAAGAAGAACAUAUCUGAGAGUAACUGUUCAGGUAUUGACGGUAUUUAACCAGAAAGCCACGGCUAACUACGUGCCAGCAGCCGCGGUAAUACGUAGGUGGCAAGCGUUGUCCGGAUUUAUUGGGCGUAAAGCGAGCGCAGGCGGUUUUUUAAGUCUGAUGUGAAAGCCUUCGGCUCAACCGAAGAAGUGCAUCGGAAACUGGGAAACUUGAGUGCAGAAGAGGACAGUGGAACUCCAUGUGUAGCGGUGAAAUGCGUAGAUAUAUGGAAGAACACCAGUGGCGAAGGCGGCUGUCUGGUCUGUAACUGACGCUGAGGCUCGAAAGUAUGGGUAGCAAACAGGAUUAGAUACCCUGGUAGUCCAUACCGUAAACGAUGAAUGCUAAGUGUUGGAGGGUUUCCGCCCUUCAGUGCUGCAGCUAACGCAUUAAGCAUUCCGCCUGGGGAGUACGGCCGCAAGGCUGAAACUCAAAGGAAUUGACGGGGGCCCGCACAAGCGGUGGAGCAUGUGGUUUAAUUCGAAGCUACGCGAAGAACCUUACCAGGUCUUGACAUACUAUGCAAAUCUAAGAGAUUAGACGUUCCCUUCGGGGACAUGGAUACAGGUGGUGCAUGGUUGUCGUCAGCUCGUGUCGUGAGAUGUUGGGUUAAGUCCCGCAACGAGCGCAACCCUUAUUAUCAGUUGCCAGCAUUAAGUUGGGCACUCUGGUGAGACUGCCGGUGACAAACCGGAGGAAGGUGGGGAUGACGUCAAAUCAUCAUGCCCCUUAUGACCUGGGCUACACACGUGCUACAAUGGAUGGUACAACGAGUUGCGAACUCGCGAGAGUAAGCUAAUCUCUUAAAGCCAUUCUCAGUUCGGAUUGUAGGCUGCAACUCGCCUACAUGAAGUCGGAAUCGCUAGUAAUCGCGGAUCAGCAUGCCGCGGUGAAUACGUUCCCGGGCCUUGUACACACCGCCCGUCACACCAUGAGAGUUUGUAACACCCAAAGUCGGUGGGGUAACCUUUUAGGAACCAGCCGCCU